GCUUGUCUAGCUCAGUUAGUAGAGUGUAAAGCUUUUAAACUUGUUGUUGUGGGUUCAAGCCCCACGAUGGGUG
rnacentral:tRNA from 1 species